GUCUUCUGUUAGUGUGUUUUCCUGACAGGACUGUUUUGCUGUCGUCUUUGGUUUCUUUUUGUCAAGUGCAUGUAUUGUAUAACAUAAUGUCCUAGGAUUCAACUGGCUGUUACGCAGGUGGGACGAUUUGGUGCCACCUAGCCCAGAGAGGUUAAGGUAGAGAAAUGAACAUUAAAUUCUAUGGCAACAGCUAAGGUGGACAUUCCUGCAGUCGGCAUGCCAAUUGCACGCUCCCUCUAAACUGGACAUCUGUGGCUUUAUGUUGUGUGACAAUACUGUGCAUUUUAGAGUGGCCUUUUAUCGUCCCCAGCACAAGAUGCACCUGUGUAAUGAUUAUACUGUUUAAUCAGCUUCUUGAUAUGCCACACCUGUCAGAUGGAUGGAUUAUCUUGGCAUAGGAGAAAUGCUCACUAACAGGGAUGCAACAAAUUUGUGUACAACAUUUGAGAGAAAUUUGUAUGUCCUCAUCAGUCAAACAAUAGCUGGGAAAAAGACAGUCAGGACCACAGAGUCUACUUUCACUGAACCACAGGUGUAUAAAGGUGCUCCUCUCUCUCCAUCUGAGCAGAACCUACGUUAUCUACCUGUGAUUCACUCUACAGCAAACUAUCACCAUGGCGAUGAUGACCAUUCUUCUGCUUCUCAGCGCUGCCUUGGCUUUGGGCAACGCAAAGCCCUUACAGGAGGCCAAUGAUGUGGAUCAACUCCUUGCUUUUGAGGCUAAGGGGGUGGAGGAGCUGCAGGAGUUGCAGGAGGUGCAAGAGGAGGUGGGGGUAGAGAGCAGGAGCUUGUGUCCCUCAGGCUGGACCAAAUACGGAUCCUGCUGUUUGAUGUUUGUUGGUGGCCCCAGCACAUGGAUUGAGGCAGAGCGAACCUGGCGUCAGUUCACAACUCCCAGGAGUAUCAUUUUCUGCAGGAGCUGGUUAGGAACCAUACCAAUGGGUUCCCAGGCACCUGGAUCGGAGGCUCUGAUGCCGUCUCUGUAAACUGCUCUUUUAUAUCUUUACAUUUUGCUUAAUGUUUUAUUUAUACUGGACAUAAAUAUAAAUGCAACAAUUUCCAAGAUUUUACUGAGUUACAGUUCAUAUAACGAAUUCAGUCAAUUGAAAUAAAUGAUUUAGGCCCUAAUCUGUUGGUCACAGAUACCUUAAAAAAGGGUCCGUGGGGCGUGGAUCAGAAAACCAGCCAGUAUCUGGUGUGACCACCAUUUGCAUCAUGCAG
rnacentral:lncRNA from 1 species